UACAGAGGUCCCAAGCGUUGUUCGGAUUCACUGGGCGUAAAGGGCGCGUAGGCGGUCGGGUAAGUCUGAUGUGAAAUCUCACAGCUUAACUGUGAAACUGCAUUGGAUACUAUUUCGGCUUGAGAGUUGGAGGGGGACUGGGAAUUCUUGGUGUAGCAGUGAAAUGCGUAGAUAUCAAGAGGAACACCAGUGGCGAAGGCGAGUCCCUGGACAACUUCUGACGCUGAGGCACGAAAGCGUGGGGAGCAAACAGG
rnacentral:rRNA from 1 species